rnacentral:pre_miRNA from 1 species
AGUGAAAUGGUUGGGUUCUAUGGUAAAUUUAUAUUUAAUUUUCUUUUCAAAAUGAUUGCACCAUUUUAUAUUCCUACCAGCAAU